GAUGAACGCUGGCGGCGUGCCUAAUACAUGCAAGUCGAGCGAACGGACGAGAAGCUUGCUUUUCUGAUGUUAGCGGCGGACGGGUGAGUAACACGUGGAUAACCUACCUAUAAGACUGGGAUAACUUCGGGAAACCGGAGCUACUACCGGAUAAUAUUUUGAACCGCAUGGUUCAAAAGUGAAAGACGGUCUUGCUGUCACUUAUAGAUGGAUCCGCGCUGCAUUAGCUAGUUGGUAAGGUAACGGCUUACCAAGGCAACGAUGCAUAGCCGACCUGAGAGGGUGAUCGGCCACACUGGAACUGAGACACGGUCCAGACUCCUACGGGAGGCAGCAGUAGGGAAUCUUCCGCAAUGGGCGAAAGCCUGACGGAGCAACGCCGCGUGAGUGAUGAAGGUCUUCGGAUCGUAAAACUCUGUUAUUAGGGAAGAACAUAUGUGUAAGUAACUGUGAACAUCUUGACGGUACCUAAUCAGAAAGCCACGGCUAACUACGUG
rnacentral:rRNA from 1 species